AUUGGCAGCAUCAGCUAUGAAAAAUCAAGGUCUAAUCCCGACAUAAAGACCCUAUUUGUGACCACAGUUGUGGACGAAGUUAACUUUUUUUUUUUUCUUACAAUUCUUAGUUGUUUAUAAGCAUGUGGACAUGUAUAUUUACUGAAUUGUGUCAUAUAUAUAUAUAUAUAUUAUAUAUAUAUACACCAAGUUCUGUGAGGUUGUGUUAGAGUUUAAUUGAUGUAUGGUAAUUAAUUUAGAUUGGAGCAAGAGUCAGUUUUUUUUCUUCAACUGAGGUAUUCUGAUUACAUUUGACAAGUGGAGAGUGGGAGGUGGCAUGAGUUGCAUCAGAAUUUCAGUAAAAAAGGAACCUUCCCCCUUUUUCUCAUUUCUGCUUUUGCAGUUCUUCCUUAGGGGUUGCUCUUGCCAGAUUUAUGAACAUGUUACUUUGUUCAUUUCUUAUAUAUAUAUAUGUGUGUGUGUGUGUGUGUGUGUGUGUGUGUGUGUUAUCUUUUCCUAAUCUUUUUCUUUAAGUUCUCAAGGUUUGACUCUAUUUCAGAAGCCUUUAGCAUAUUGACUAUAUUGACUUCAGAAGGCUUCAUGUUGCAUUUCCUCUCUGGAUCCACUGGAAUGCCUUCUUGGAAACCCUCAAUUGACCGGAAUUUGAGCAUCCGGUGUGGCAGCAAGGCUUCUGUAUCCAGUUUUGUCAAUUCCUAAGUUCAUUUCAGCAUGGCUAUAAGUGGCAGAUGACAAGGAAAUCAACAAAUGGAAAAGGAAAAACCAUCAAAGGGCCAAACUUUAGUGGCACAUACUGGACCAGGAGUAGUUAGCAUUGCAAAUGUAGGCCCCAACACUAAUGAAAGUCUAUUUUUCAUUUGCACUGUGAAGGAACAGGCGCAGCACAAGUGAGCAAGGUCAUGGAUUUGGCAACAGCAUUUGCAUCGACGAAAUUGAGAUGACCAAAAGAUUUUCGAUUGGGGGAAGGAAGCGAAUGAGAGUAAUAAGAGAGUAAAGGUGGAGAAUCAUCUUUCCAUUUAUAAAGAGAGAUUCUUUAUGUGAAGUUUUAACGUAAGUAAGAUAUACUUACGGUUUACUUUCAUAUUGUUGUGAUAUAUAUGUUUGUAAGCAUUGUUUUAAAAGCCGGACCGGACCGGUUGGACCGACCGUUGGAUCGGGAACCGGUUAAGUGUCCGGUUCGGGUUAAUCUUAAAACCGUUUAUAAGCAAUGGACCGUAUUAAACCGUUAAAAAACCGGAUCUUUUCAGCGAACCGCCGGUCCAACCGGACCGACUGAUAAACUGGUCCAAUUAAAAAUCCCUAAACCUAAUGCCCGCAGCCUUCUUCUCAUUGCGUUCACUUCAUCUCUCUCAGUUUCUUUCGCAAAUUUCUCAGCUUCUUCUCUCUUCUCUGCAAAAAUUUUUUAGCUUCGAGUGCAGUUGUCUGUUCUCUGCGAAGAUUUCUCUCUAAAAUCCCACCCAAAUCACAUCUGAACUCUCUGAAAUCGUCCUCGCUCGCUGGAAAUCGACGACGUCUUCCUCCCUCGCGGGAAAUCGACGAUGACAGCUUCGUCCCUCACUAGAAAUCGACGGCAACAACUCCAUUCAUUGACGUUUAGACUUGGUUAUUGGAAAUUAAUCCCAUCUAGAUCUUACUCUUCCUGAAGGAGGUGAAAAAACUGGCAUCCUAAAGAAGGUAAAGUCUCUAGAAUGGGUAUUUGGUCAUUAUUUGUUCAGGACAAACUUAUCAUUGAUCCAUUAUCUGUACUUUUUAAUUGUGAAUUUCCAAUUUGAAAUAUUGUUAGAUAAUGAUGUUGGUAUACAGAUAGUGGAUGGUUGUAUCAUGCAUGUAUGACUGAAGUUUAGACUUGGUUAUUGGAAAUUAUAUAUGAACAUGUUUUUAUGACCAA